rnacentral:rRNA from 1 species
GAUGAACGCUAGCUACAGGCUUAACACAUGCAAGUCGAGGGGUAACGAGAGGAAAGCUUGCUUUCCUUGUCGACGACCGGCGCACGGGUGAGUAACGCGUAUCCAACCUGCCCCCAACUAAGGAAUAACCUUGCGAAAGUAAGACUAAUACCUUAUAAUUUCCUCAGAUGUCAUCUGACGAGGAAUAAAGAUUUAUCGGUUGUGGAUGGGGAUGCGUCUGAUUAGCUUGUUGGCUGGGUAACGGCCCACCAUGGAAACGAUCAGUAGGGGUUCUGAGAGAAAGGUCACCCGCAUUGGAACUGAGACACGGUCCAAACUCCGACGGGAGGCAGCAGUGAGGAAUAUUGGUCAAUGGGCGGAAGCCUGAACCAGCGAAGUAGCGUGCAGGAUGACGACCCUAUGGGUUGUAAACUGCUUUUAUACAGGAAUAAAGUUAGCCACGUGUGGUUAUUUGUAGGUACUGUAUGAAUAAGAACCGGCUAAUUCCGUGCCAGCAGCCGCCGCCG